GGCGGGCCUCCCCGCAGCGUGGUCGGGUGAAACUGGUCAGGUCCGGAAGGAAGCAGCCACAGCCUUUCUCCAUGUGUGCCGGGGUUCCGGCUCGCCCAC
rnacentral:SRP_RNA from 1 species